rnacentral:rRNA from 1 species
AUUGAACGCUGGCGGCAGGCCUAACACAUGCAAGUCGAACGAGGGGCAGACGGGUGAGUAAUGUGUGGGGAUCUGCACUAUGGAGGGGGAUAAAUACUGGAAACGGUGGAUAAUACCGCAUACCAUCGGAUGAGCCCAUGGGGGAUUAGGUAGUUGGUGGGGUAAAGGCUCACGAAGCCGACGAUCCCUAGCUGGUCUGAGAGGAUGACCAGCCAGACUGGGACGGAGACACGGCCCAGACUCCGUGGGGAGGCAGCAGUGGGGAAUAUUGCGCAAUGGGCGCAACCCUUAUGCAGCCAUGCCGCGUGUAUGAAGAAGGCCUUCGGGUUGUAAAGUUCUUUCUGUAGGGAGGCGUUACCCACAGAAGAAGCACCGGCUAACUCCGUGCCAGCAGCCGCGGUAAUUC